UCUUUAAUGGAGAGUUUGAUCCUGGCUCAGGACGAACGCUGGCGGCGUGCCUAAUACAUGCAAGUCGAGCGGGGUUAUUUAGAAGCUUGCUUCUAAAUAACCUAGCGGCGGACGGGUGAGUAACACGUAGGCAACCUGCCCACAAGACAGGGAUAACUACCGGAAACGGUAGCUAAUACCCGAUACAUCCUUUUCCUGCAUGGGAGAAGGAGGAAAGACGGAGCAAUCUGUCGCUUGUGGAUGGGCCUGCGGCGCAUUAGCUAGUUGGUGGGGUAAUGGCCUACCAAGGCGACGAUGCGUAGCCGACCUGAGAGGGUGAUCGGCCACACUGGG
rnacentral:rRNA from 1 species